rnacentral:misc_RNA from 1 species
GUAUUUGAUUGCGUUUUAAGGCAACAUGAACAUUCUAUGACACAUUCAGAGUAUAUGAUACAUAAGCCCGAAGGCCUACGGUGGGUUCACAGGUGUGUUGUGGAUUUAAGAGCUCGGGCGUGCACAUGCCCCGAAAGGCCAGCGACAACCCUCGCUUAUAAUUCUAUAAUGAUCCUUCCGCAGGUUCACCUACGGAAA